UACGUAGGGGGCUAGCGUUGUCCGGAAUCAUUGGGCGUAAAGCGCGCGUAGGCGGCCCGGUAAGUCCGCUGUAAAAGUCCAGGGCUCAACCCUGGAACGCCGGUGGAUACUGUCGGGCUAGAGUCCGGAAGAGGCGAGUGGAAUUCCUGGUGUAGCGGUGAAAUGCGCAGAUAUCAGGAAGAACACCCGUGGCGAAGGCGGCUCUCUGGUACGUGACUGACGCUGAGACGCGAAAGCGUGGGGAGCGAACAGG
rnacentral:rRNA from 1 species